rnacentral:rRNA from 1 species
UACAGAGGUCUCGAGCGUUGAUCGGAAUUAUUGGGCUUAAAGGGUGCGUAGGCGGUCCUGUCAGUGCCUUGUGAAAUCCCAUGGCUCAACCAUGGAAUUGCUCGGUAGACCACAGACUUGAGGUCGGUAGGGGUCGCUGGAACUCUAGGUGGAGCGGUGAAAUGCGUAGAUAUCUAGAGGAACGCCAAAGGUGAAGACAGGGCGACUGGGCCGAUUCUGACGCUGAGGCACGAAGCGUGGGUAGC